UACGGGGGGGGCAAGCGUUGUUCGGAAUUACUGGGCGUAAAGGGCUCGUAGGCGGCCAACUAAGUCAGACGUGAAAUCCCUCGGCUUAACCGGGGAACUGCGUCUGAUACUGGAUGGCUUGAGUUCGGGAGAGGGAUGCGGAAUUCCAGGUGUAGCGGUGAAAUGCGUAGAUAUCUGGGGGAACACCGGUGGCGAAGGCGGCAUCCUGGACCGAUACUGACGCUGAUGAGCGAAAGCCAGGGGAGCAAACGGG
rnacentral:rRNA from 1 species